UACAGAGGUCUCAAGCGUUGUUCGGAUUCAUUGGGCGUAAAGGGUGCGUAGGCGGCGCGGUAAGUCGGGGUGUGAAAUCUCGGGAGCUUAACUCCGAAAACUGCAUUCGAUACUGCCGUGCUUGAGGACUGGAGAGGAGACUGGAAUUCAUGGUGUAGCAGUGAAAUGCGUAGAGAUCAUGAGGAAGACCAGUGGCGAAGGCGGGUCUCUGGACAGUUCCUGACACUGAGACACGAAGGCCAGGGGAGCAAACGGG
rnacentral:rRNA from 1 species